AUUGAACGCUGGCGGCAGGCCUAACACAUGCAAGUCGAACGAGUGGCGGACGGGUGAGUAAUGUCUGGGAAACUGCCCGAUGGAGGGGGCUAACUAGUGGAAACGGUAGCUAAUACCGCAUACCAUCGGAUGUGCCCAGAUGGGAUUAGCUAGUAUGUGGGGUAAAGGCUAACCUAGGCGACGCUCCCUAGCUGGUCUGAGAGGAUGACCAGCCACACUGGAACUGAGACACGGUCCAGACUCCUACGGGAGGCAGCAGUGGGGAAUAUUGCACAAGGGGCGCAAGCCUGAUGCAGCCAUGUCGCGUGUAUGAAGAAGGCCUUCGGUUUGUAAAGUACUUUCAGCGGGGAGGCGUUACCCGCAGAAGAAGCACCGGCUAACUCCGUGCCAGCAGCCGCGGUAAUUC
rnacentral:rRNA from 1 species